rnacentral:rRNA from 1 species
CAGCAGCCGCGGUAAUACAGAGGGUGCGAGCGUUAAUCGGAUUUACUGGGCGUAAAGCGUGCGUAGGCGGCUAAUUGAGUCGGAUGUGAAAUCCCCGAGCUUAACUUGGGAAUUGCAUUCGAUACUGGGAAGCUAGAGUAUGGGAGAGGAUGGUAGAAUUCCAGGUGUAGCGGUGAAAUGCGUAGAGAUCUGGAGGAAUACCGAUGGCGAAGGCAGCCAUCUGGCCUAAUACUGACGCUGAGGUACGAAAGCAUGGGGAGCAAACAGGAUUAGAUACCCGGGUAGUCCCUGUCUCUUAUAA